CACGUUGCAAAUGCAUUUGAGGCGAGGAGGGAAUCCGUAGGCAGGACGAACGGAGAGCGAGGGAGCGAGAUAGCCGAGGACGGGAGAGAGCGCGAGGAGUCGGCGGAGCGGAGACCCGGCAAGAUAGAGGAGCCGGUGGGAGGAUGGCGGUUAGAAUUUAUGGCCGCUUUAUCACUUUACCGGCCUUGCCGCGUCUCCUUUAGCCCGUGAGGAGGGCAGGAUCUCACGAUGAACUUUGGCACUCGACUACGCUGCACUCGACGAGCGAUUCAAUUACAUAUCACCUACUCAUGGAUGUACCGUGGACUUCAACAAAAUCGUUACAUCGACUCAACCAAUGAAAAUGGAUGCUCUCUCGUCGCAUUCAUCAUCGCAUACAUCCAUCGCAUUAUAUAAAUUAAUCAAUACGAAUAAUGAAGAUUCAGUGACAUUAUUUGCGAUUUACGAAGUGAAUAGACGACCAAAGUCAAAAUCAACGGGGACACAAAAUUUGAUACAAAGAAUUAAUAAUUUGUAUCGACAGUGCGACAGAAGUUAAUCCACUUCUGGUACCAGAAAAAUAUAUAUUAUACCUACAAAGGCGAGAUGUUUCAUUUUCACAAAAAUACCAGAGAACGUAUGUAUACAAUAAACCUAUCAGAAAAAAGGAGAGCGGCGAAGCACUGUCGAGCAACAAACCGAUGAAUCCCAUCAGUCGCACAAAUAUUGAAUCCAGCACGACGCGACAUACACGGGUGCAGUGCACACUGAUGAUGGAUCCAAUCGAGGACUGGAGUAUAGGAGGAUAUAGGGCAAUACUAUAAUUAAACAGUGCAAUCGCACGUUUGUUAUCGUGAACCACGUUCGAAACUGGCGCCUUUCAAGAAUACCGGCAACCAUUAGACUGUCCCCGCGAUAUUCGAGGUAGAGUAUGAUGGUUCCAUCGAGUAGGUAGUGCCUAGACGGGGCUCCACCCAGCACUUAGUUUACGUCGCGAUCGCGGCCCCGGGCACGGCCGUUUCCAGGGUACAGUCACGCCCCUGCCAUGCGAGUACUGUACUCCCAUUCGCUGGCCCAUAUCUCAUCUGGUCCAUCGCAUUAGCCUAAUCUGCCAGCAACGUGAACGGAGAAAAAAAAUACGGCCAUCGACGUUGCCACUGACGAGAGAAAUCGCGGCGAGGUGCUGCCACCUUUUAUUGGUAGGAUCGAGAAGUUGACCGGUUGUCGAAUCGAUUUUUUUUCUCCCCGGCGAGCAACGUUGUCACGCUCUCAUUUUCACUAGUAGCUCGAUUUCAUUGUUCGUGCAUUGUUAGGGUUAAUAUCGCCUACAACGGUUUUGAAACUCGGCGGUCAUACGCGUUCGCGUCGGCCGAGACACGAGAGUUUGAUUGCCUGGUUCAUCGUGAAGGCGGUCGAAAUCGUGGAACACGCUGUUGCAGCUGCUUUCCAUCGUCGGACGCAGUUCACCGCCAUCGGUCCGUGUUGCUGGUGGCAUUGCAAAGAAGUAGAAUAGCUGUGGGAUUGACAGCAGUCUGUGGAUCAACCUGGCGCAGCUGCCGUCGACGACUAGCUGACAGGUGAUUUCGUCUCGGUGAAAGAAGGUGAUUGCCUCAUUACAGCAACUAACUAUAAGCAGGUUUGCUGGAUUUACACCCUGCGCAUACCUUAUUGAGACCCGAACGGCUUGGAGCAGCGAAACGAAUGGGGACGUUGUCGUGAACAUGGCUACCGUGUAUUUGUUUGGUCGUUCCGUCGACCGGAUCAUAUUAAUCUACUGCUAAUGAGCGGUCCUGAUCAGUGGUGAAGAUGCAUAGGUUUUAUCUCCAAGAUACAGAAAACGCCCUCAUUAUGAGCCAACUCGGGUGUGCCUUGUGGUCGGCUUAAUAUUUAACGCGUCUCGAAUCGUUCCAUCACCGUCGAUAUUUCUCCAAUCCAGAGAGAGAGAGAGGGGGGGAGGGGGAGGGAGAAUUAGAUUGUAUUUGUAAAUAACAUCGACAUAUAUGUCGAUAAUAAGCAAGCUUAAAAAAUUAGCUGUUUUGAGUUACGUACCAAAGGCAGCUCCCUGUUAAUUGCAUUCAAUUCGAUAGAGAUCAUAAAUAUAUUUUUAGUGUGAUUUCUAAAGUUCAAACAGUUCAUAAUACUGGUCGAAUAAUAUCACAUGUCCGUAGUUUCCUUUCAGUUGACUGUUAUAGCCGAAGUUACCUUAAACGUGAGCUAUUUGUGACGACGCACAAAUUGAUUGAAAGAUAAUAUUCACUGCAGAACUUGUAUAUAACAUUAAAUUUUGAAUAUUUUAUAUAUAAUAUUUAAGUUUAAAGUUACUUUGCAUAAU